rnacentral:lncRNA from 10 species
GUCAGCUUUGAUCUGAGUUUUAUUAGCCUAUGCCUUUGUUCCCUCUCUCCUUUAGGGGAACAGACGGGUUUACGGCUGGUCUCCCCAUCCCUCUGUCAGCUGCAGGCGGGUGGCGGGCGGCCGCUCUGAUAAGGCCUGGUCCCUGCCCCUGUGCCUCUGUGGGGUGCCGGCACAGCAAGCCUGGGACCUGGCCGCCGGCCCCUCCGCCAGGUCACCGGGAGGCCUGGGGGGCAGGUACCCUCAGGUUAGGGGGACUCUGGGAUACAGACCCCUGCAAGCCCGUGGCCUCCUAUUUCUCCCAUCCCACCUCCCUCCCUCUGCCUGAUGACUCCCGUGGGUGGGGCUUCUGCCUUCCCAAGCCCCUGUGCCUCAGUUUCCUUACCUAAAGAACAGGGUGCUAAUGGAGACAAGGGAGACCAGGAGACAGCUCAGCCAGGGGCCAAACCAGCAGCUAUUGCUAUGGAGGUUCAGGGAGGUGAGGAUGUUGGACCACAGGCUGGGAACUGGCCCUCCAGGGACCCCUGAGGAGAGCAGGCCUGGGAUCCUGGGGCUGGGCUGGGGGAGCCGGUGGACUCCAGGGUGAACGCGGUGUUAGCCUGUGUCUGCUGGGACUGGGCCACAAGAGUUCCCAGCUUCAAAGGGCCAGGGGAGGCCGGUGACACCCCACCUCUCUGGGUGAGGGCCUUGCUCCCAGGGGUGGCUGGGGAGUGGUGGGUGGGGCUUCUGGGGGCUGUGACACAACCGCACUCCACUUAAUGAUCACCCAGUUUUAACGGGGAUCCAGGAGCUUCUGGGGGGUGCUGGGUGCUGGGUGACACCAUGGCCCCCUCGUGCGUCCCUAGCCUGGCGGCAGGUGCUCUGGGCCCUCUCCCUGGGACUAUCUGCCUGGACGGCAUUUUCUGGCCCUUUUAACACCGGGGUCCCUAGCCCAGCCCUGGGCCUUUACGAUCAGGAGGUGAGGAGGACCCCUCACCCCAAGGGAAGCCUCACCCUGAUGGGACAGGCCUGGCCUCGGCUGAACUGCACAGAGGGGGGGCCCUUGAGAGCUCCCCUGCUACAGCCUAGGUGCCCCCUUCCACUGCCCUGGCAGUAGCAAAGGUCCACAGCAUGGGUGGACAUGCCUGAUGGCAGCCCUACUGUGUGCCAGGUGCCAGGACGCAGCCUGACCCCAGGAUCCGGUUCGCUCCUCUCCACAACCCUGGGCGGGGAUCCUCUCCUAGGACCCUCCGGAGCCUGAGGGUCAGAAGGUGGUGACAUCCAGUCACACGGAGAGGGACUUGGAGUGUCUGUACGGCACCAUCCUGUCCCGCUGCCUAAAGGGAGCGCCUGCUUCAAUUCCUGCCCCCAGGGCCGUAGGAGCAGGCCUUCCGGGACUCCGUUCCUAGGAUCACCGAUGGAAUUCCUGGUGGGGGUGGGACUCUGCCCCUUCAAGGACUCUAGAGGAUUCCAUGACAGGGUGGGUUGGGCCUGAAGGGCAGGGGCCAAGUAUGGGGGCCUCCCCACAGAUGUGAAAGCAGAGGUUUCCCUACCUCCUGCCAGAGGGCAGGGAGCAUAGCUGGAUGCUGUGGCUGGGGGCAGGACUCCUGGCAGCCUUGUUCCCCAAGGCAGAGGGUGACAAAUCACUAAUUGGCCUCUGGGGCGGUGCUGCACCUGACCUGGGCUGUCUUCAGGGGCUAGUGAUUCGCUGAAAAAAGCCCACAUUCUGCCAAGGCUCAGCCUCCACACCUCCUCACAUCCCAGCCAGCC